ensembl:lncRNA
GGAGGGAGACCACUAGGCAGGGAGGGAGACCACUAGGCAGGCAAGGAGGAAGGUCACUAGGCAGGCAGGGAGGAAGGUCACUAGGCAGGCAGGGAGGAAGGUCACUAGGCAGGCAGGGAGGGACACCACUAGGCAGGCAAGGAGGAAGGUCACUAGGCAAGCAGGGAGGGACACCACUCGGCAGGCAGGGAGGAAGGUCAGUAGGCAGGAGUGGGGGACACCACUUGUCAGGGAGGGAGGAAGGUCACUAGGCAGGCAGGGAGGAAGGUCACUAGGCAGGCAAGGAGGAAGGUUACUAGGCAGGCAGGGCAGGGGGACACCACUAGUCAGGGAGGGAGGAAGGUCACUAGGCAGGC